ensembl:ncRNA F45H7.11 ncRNA
AGGCGAGGGGGGCGAUCAAAAAGAUUAGAAGAUUAUGACUUGUCACGGGAAAGGAGUCUCUUAUCCACCGCAGGGCGCUUCUAGCGCCCGACACCUCACGAGUUUGUUUUGGCAGUCGACAACCCGUGAGAUGUCGGGUGCUGUAACUAAAACAAUUAGAAGUGUGAAUUGGGCGCCCACUAUCUUAUAACAAUACAAUUACAGCACCCGACGCCUCAUGAGUUUGGUUUGGUACUCAACGGCCCGUAAGGUGUCGGUUGCUAUAUUGAAGUGAUAGCAGCCGACACUUUACGGGCCGUAAAAUAAACCCGUGAAGUGUCCGCCACUUCAAGACAACUAUUUGGCUGAACAUAAGUUCUCUCGGUCUUCAAACUGUGUCAGCAGUCGACACUUCACGGGCGAGUUUUCUUGUCUCCCGUGAGGCGUCCGCUGCUUCAUUGUUAGAAACCAGCAGCCGACACCUCACGGGUCUUUUCUUAAGUUUUGAGUAAAUCCCGUAAAGU